CGUCGUCUCCCGCCGCCUCUUCUAUUUCGGGCUUAACGGAGAAGGUGCUUCCUGGGCAUCAAUCCCGAAAGAGGAUCGAAGACCAAGAAGAGGACCACAAUGAACCCUCAUAUUAGCACCCUAUUGAGGAAACUAAUUGACUUUGAGUGGGCGUCAUAGUGUUUUUUAGCAGUGGUACUUGUCAGGCUCCACAGUUAAAAGUUUGCACAAUGUCUCUGCAUUUUCUGCAUUUUAAAAUGGCUUUUAUGAAAACAAUCUUAAAGUUGAAAUUCUAAAAUAAUUAAUUUCUUAAAUUCUUGCUGUACAUUGAAACAUAUGUGUUAAUAAAUAUGCCAUUGGGCUAACAUUGA